AUUAGGAAUCUUGCGCAAUGGGCGAAAGCCUGACGCAGCGACGUCGCGUGAAGGAUGAAAUCUUUCGGGAUGUAAACUUCUUUUAUCGGGGAAGAAACAAAUGACGGUACCCGAUGAAUAAGCCCCGGCUAACUACGUGCCAGCAGCCGCGGUAAUACGUAGGGGGCGAGCGUUGUCCGAAGUUACUGGGCGUAAAGAGCGCGUAGGCGGGUCUUUAAGUGAGGGGUGAAAGGUUCAGGGCUCAACCCGGACACUGCCUUUCAUACUGGAGACCUUGAGUGUGGGAGAGGCGAGUGGAAUGGUCGGUGUAGCGGUGAAAUGCGUAGAUAUCGAUCGGAACACCCAUGGCGAAGGCAGCUCGCUGGCCUAUAACUGACGCUGAGGCGCGAAAGCGUGGGGAGCAAACAGG
rnacentral:rRNA from 1 species